UACGUAGGGUGCGAGCGUUAAUCGGAAUUACUGGGCGUAAAGCGUGCGCAGGCGGUUUUGUAAGCCAGAUGUGAAAGCCCCGGGCUUAACCUGGGAAUGGCAUUUGGGACUGCAAGGCUUGAGUGCGGCAGAGGGGACUGGAAUUCCCGGUGUAGCAGUGAAAUGCGUAGAUAUCGGGAGGAAUACCGAUGGCGAAGGCAGGUCUCUGGGCUGACACUGACGCUCAUGCACGAAAGCGUGGGGAGCAAACAGG
rnacentral:rRNA from 1 species